rnacentral:snRNA from 1 species
UUAUUUCUUUUUUUGAGGUGUAUAGUAAUAUUGCUAACACCUACACAACACGCUUACAUCAACUAGAGUUUUGCUUUAUAUUGGUGCAAUUUUUGGAAAA